GAGAGUGUGGUUAUAAGCAAUUAAGUGAAAUGACGGUACUAACCUCAAUGUUGUCUAGGGUUAUACAUUGCAAUAGGGCUUCCAUAGAUAUUCAUCGCGAUGCCGCAUGCCUCACUGCUCCUCUUGGUGCUGCUGCGACGUUAUUGUGACUUCGCCUCGCCAAACUGAUGUCUCAACGUCGGCUCUCUUUAACGCCUUUGACCACACUCUUCCACGUUGGUGUCGUCAGUGUCUGCGCAGAUUUAGUGCUUGUGAGAUGGCAUCCACCCCUAGUUCACCCCGCACUCGGUCAAGAACUCGUGGUAAGGGUGUCACACCAACCCAACAAGAACCGGUACACAAAUGCACCUGGGACAGCGACAACACAAAGCUUUUUUUGCAAUUGGUCAUAGCAGAGAUGGGGGAUGGUAACUACUAGUUGUGCUCCUUGUCAAUGAGUGGUUAUAAGAAACUUGCGAAUAAGUGGUCAUAGCAGAAACUUGUGCUCCUGGACAGAACCGGCCUGCUACAUUUUGCCAAACAAAUGAAAAAUAAAUAUGACAACUUGAAGAAAGAUUGAAUUGUUUGGAAGAAGCUACAUGAUAGUAGCCAAGGCUUCACAGGGAUUGGGUAUGACCACACCUCUGGAUUGUUCACAGCCCUAGACCACUGGUGGGCAAAAAUAUGAACCACCGAUGCGCAAAGUUCAAGACAAAGCCAUUGGAGCACUUGGAUCUUAUGGAAAGGGUGUUUGCGGGCGCGGCUACAACUGGAAAACAUAUGUGGACGCCAACUGAAAUCCGCGAUGCUGAUGGAACUAGUGACAGUGCUGCAACCCUUGACAGCGGUAUGGGGCCUCUCAGUGGUGGCACACCACCACGUGAUGUGCUAGAUUGUGUCGGCGAUAACGUGGUGGAUUGUUCACUAUUUGACAAUGCUCCUCCCCAUUCCACCGCAGAUGGCUCUGCUAAUGCCAAAUGUUGCAAGCGAGUAGCCCCUGGUACUGUGGCAAGCAGCAUGGACAACCUUGUCGAGGCCGUUAGUAAACAAAAUAGGAAACUGAAAAUAACAUAGUACGUGGUUACAGGGAAGGGCGAAAACACUGUUGGGGACUGUCUUGCGAAGUUGAUGAUGGUGCCUGGGUUAUAUGGGGGUGGUUCGCUAUUCUCAUUCACUUGCUUGCUUAUGGAUUCACCUGAUAAGCGCAACCUAAUUAUGGGCCUCCCCCUAGAUUACGUUGUCAAUUGGCUGAAGAGAAGCGUGUAAUCGCCCACCAGCCUGCUAUGGUGGAGUGUAGUCAUGGCGUUCGUUUAUUUAGACAGGAUGGUGUCGUCGAUAUGGACUAAGAACCGGGACAACAAGGAUGUGUGCAUCUACAACGGUGUUUUUUUUUUUUUGUCAGGUUUCUUUUUUUUUGUUUAGUAGUGGUUUGGUUGCACCUUUUUAAAUUUUAGAAUCUUUGGUUAAUUGGACUGUUAAUGUGAUGUAUAACUGUUGGCAAAAAACUGUUAUGGUUGGGUUUGUAUUUUGGUUUUUAGUAGUGGUUUGGUUUCAACUUUUUAA